GACGGAAGGUGCAAGCGUUGCUCGGAAUCACUGGGCGUAAAGGGUGCGUAGGCGGGUUAUUAAGUCAGAGGUGAAAUCCUGGAGCUCAACUCCAGAACUGCCUUUGAUACUGAUAGUCUUGAGUAUGGGAGAGGUGAGUGGAACUGCGAGUGUAGAGGUGAAAUUCGUAGAUAUUCGCAAGAACACCAGUGGCGAAGGCGGCUCACUGGCCCAUUACUGACGCUGAGGCACGAAAGCGUGGGGAGCAAACAGG
rnacentral:rRNA from 1 species